CCUACGGGGGGCAGCAGUGGGGAAUAUUGCACAAUGGGGGAAACCCUGAUGCAGCGAAGCCGCGUGAGUGAAGAAGUAUCUCGGUACGUAAAGCUCUAUCAGCAGGGAAGAUAAUGACGGUACCUGUCCAAGAAGCCCCGGCCAACUACGUGCCAGGAGCCGGGGUAAUACGGAGGGGGCAAGCGUUAUCCGGAUGUACUGGGGGUAAAGGGAGAGUAGGCGGCAGGACAAGUCUGGAGUGAAAACCCUGGGCUUAACCCCGGAACUGCUGUUGAAACUGGUCGGCUGGAGUGCAGGAGGGGUAAGCGGAAUUCCUGGUGUAGCGGUGAAAUGCGUAGAGAUCAGGAGGAACACCGGUGGCGAAGGCGGCAUACUGGACUUUAACUGACGUUGAGGCUCGAAAGCGUGGGGAGCAAACAGGAUUAGAUACCCGAGUAGUC
rnacentral:rRNA from 1 species